rnacentral:tRNA from 1 species
GGGGAUGUAGCUCAAUUGAUGAGUGCUCGCUUCGCGUGUAAGAGGCUUCGAGUUCGAAUCCAGACAUCUCCA